rnacentral:rRNA from 1 species
UACGAAGGGGGCUAGCGUUGCUCGGAAUCACUGGGCGUAAAGGGUGCGUAGGCGGGUCUUUAAGUCAGGGGUGAAAUCCUGGAGCUCAACUCCAGAACUGCCUUUGAUACUGAGGAUCUUGAGUACGGGAGAGGUGAGUGGAACUGCGAGUGUAGAGGUGAAAUUCGUAGAUAUUCGCAAGAACACCAGUGGCGAAGGCGGCUCACUGGCCCGUUACUGAUGCUGAGGCACGAAAGCGUGGGGAGCAAACAGG